AAUGAACGCUGGCGGCGCGCCUAAUACAUGCAAGUCGAGCGAGAAGACGUAGCAAUACGUUUGUAAAGCGGCGAACGGGUGAGGAAUACAUGGGUAACCUACCCUAGAGUGGGGAAUAACUAGCCGAAAGGUUAGCUAAUACCGCGUACGCUCCUUGGACUUCGGUUCAGGGAGGAAAGCGAUGCCGAGGGUAUCGCGCUCUUGGAUGGGCUCAUGUCCUAUCAGCUUGUUGGGAGGUAACGGCUCACCAAGGCUUCGACGGGUAGCUGGUCUGAGAGGACGAUCAGCCACACUGGCACUGCGACACGGGCCAGACUCCUACGGGAGGCAGCAGUAAGGAAUAUUGCGCAAGUGGGACGAAAGCCUGACGCAGCGACGCCGC
rnacentral:rRNA from 1 species